CGGCUUCAGGAAGACCUGCUGGCCCCGCCUGAGGAAUUGGACAACAGCAAUGAGGAUGUGGUGCAGCACCAGGACCAUGCUCGCAGCCGCCCGCCCGCCCGCCGGCCCGGCAGCCGCUCCCGGUUCUUGCAGCUGGUCCGCUAUUAGGAUCCCCCGCCAGGCAGCCGGCUCUCAGCCUUCGCUCCCCUCCUCCUGCCCCUUCGCCACUCCUGUCACUACCUCUCGGGGGUCCCUUCUCAGAGACCCUCUCCCGACCGAUCACCUGCGGAUCCCCAUUGUUGCCCCCGGCACUGAAAAAGUCCUGAAGCCAGGCCAGAGACCCAAGGCAGAGACCAGAGCGGUGGAGGAGGCUGGAGGAGGAAGUCGGGGAGAAUUUGAGAGGCCGCUCCGAGACGGACAGGCCCUGGGAGCAGCAGCAAAUCUGAGGGAGGCACGUGCGCACAGGCACAAGAGCGCACACGGGCGCACCACUCCUGAGUCGGGGGUAUGGGCACCGCGCCCCCAGCCCCGGGCACGCAGGUCUGCGCUGGUGUCCCUAGGAGCCGGAGAGGGU